UGUUGUGCCUUCACAAGCACCAUACGGCUUGGUUUUUAUUGCAGGGAACUGGGCUCUUGGAAAAUGCUCAUAGCUCCAGGAGCCAGAAAUCUGCACGGAUUCAUGGCACAGGUGUGUUUCACAAAUCUCAGCUGCUCCCCUAACCACGUCCAAUAGUCUUAGGCGGACCCUAGUAAGACUACAGCUGUUAGGUCCCCCUAACAUUAUUGGAGGGGGUUAGGGAGCAGCUGAGCUGUCCUCGGGUCCCCCAAAGGAUGAUGCCGGCUCUGCAGAGUUUCGUCCUAGCUGGAGAAGGAAGCGACGUGUUCCAGGGGAGAAACGGAAGGAGGAGGAAGGAACUUGGCCUUCCUACCCUGGAAGACAGGCAGCAAGAGGGUCGGCUGUAGGUGUAAUAGACUUGGACUGCUGACUUGGCGUCUUGCUGCCCGGUAAAAGCUGCUUGUGCUUGGAGGAGUGGACGCUUCCUACAGUCUUGGUAGCUGCGGGGGAGCCCUCCUGAGAUUGAGAGCCAGCUUUGGCGAGACUGGGAUUCCUGGAGCAUCGGUAUUCUUGUAAGAGAACUCCGUGCAUGCCUGGCUAGAUUGUUCUGAAGGAACGGAGUUUCCUGGCCAGGUGGGUGCAAUAGUUGAUUCAGUAUCUCAUUGCUUGGAUUAAUUUUUAAAAUUCAGGAGUGGGAGCGCCACUAGAAUCUAGAGGGCAACACACAAAAAACGUUUUGGAAACGAAUAACUGCUGCUUUCAUGCUAUUGCUCAACCUUUUCAUUUAUGGUACAGGAAAAGUUAAUCUCUGCCACCGGUAUGUGCCAUCUGUGAGAUAGGAACACAUUUGUGUUGACUUGUGCCCAAGAAAAUGCUUUGAAAAAAUCCCCUUCUGGCUUUUCCUUUUGAAGUAUCUUCUUCAGAGAUUCUCUACUUGAUUUAAGAUUAUAGAAAGACAGAAAAAGAAUGCAAUACUUAAUUGUUUCACUGGGGAUGGGGAGAUUGGUGGUGGGCUGGCUGGUCAGCUGGCAGUUGUGGCUGAAUUGAAUAAUUUAGUGACAUUUCUUGUGCAAGGUAGAUGGACUUUAGUCUGAGAGAUUUGGGCAAGACCUGGUUGUUUUACUGGUUGAGAAGGAAGACAAGCUUUUGAAGAAAUCUGAAAUUUAUCAAUCAGUGGUCCCUUUCUUACUGGCAGAGUGAAAUGGAUAGGAGGAUUUAAUUCAAGUGAAUCAAUCUUUUAUUUUGUGGAAAAUGAAAAUGAGGUUUCUAGCUGACCCUUUUCUUGAGAGGAGGAAAUCAUAGCUCAGAAUAGCCAAGUGAUGUACUUUUUAAAAAGAAGCUUUAUUUACCUUGCUGAGUAGUGUAAUCACUUGGUUUUAUGUAUAUCUAUCUAUG
rnacentral:lncRNA from 1 species